GAGGAGAGACAUGAAUAAAGCUGUGUGAAAAUUAAGGGAUGAAUGGUCAAUGCAUUUCCCAGAGAGGAUUUUCCAGGAAAGAACAAAAUGAAUAUGAUGGGAAUGAAAGAAAGACUCAGACUGAAGAGAUAGAAGAUUGUGUGAACAACCAGGGACUCCCAGGAUGGAAGCCAUGUAACACACAGCCUCUCAGGGCUGUUACAGACUCACUUCA
rnacentral:lncRNA from 1 species